CCUACGGGAGGCUGCAGUGGGGAAUAUUGCUCAAUGGGCGAAACCCUGAUCCAGCGACGUCGCGUGAGUGAAGAAGUCCUUCGUUAUGUAAAGCUCUAUCAGCAGGGAAGCAAAUGACGGUACCUGAGUCAGCACCCCCGGCUAACUACGUGCCAGCAGCCGCGGUAAUACGUCGGGGGCAAGCGUUAUCCGGAUUUACUGGGUGUAAAGGGAGCGUAGACGGCAGUGCAAGUCUGGAGUGAAAGGCGGGGGCUCAACCCCCGGACUGCUCUGGAAACUGUGCGGCUGGAGUGCAGGAGAGGUAAGUGGAAUGCCUGGUGUAGCGGUGAAAUGCGUAGAUAUCAGGAGGAACACCAGUGGCGAAGGCAGCUUACCGGACUGUAACUGACGUUGAGGCACGAAAGCGUGGGGAGCGAACAGGAUUAGAUACCCUAGUAGUC
rnacentral:rRNA from 1 species